UUCAUCCUAAGAUUUGAUAUUUUUGGUUUAGAAUCAUCAUCAUUUACUGAUUUAAUGCCAUCAUUCAUUAUAUUCUACAGCUAUAGGUACCUGAUCCAGUCUUGUUUGAUCUCGUGUGUCAGGUCUUUGCUGAUCUACUUGAGGUUCUUUAGCUGCCGAAAUAAAAACAGCAUCACUACAGCAUGGUACAUUCAAACCAAACUGAAUCCAGGUUUCUUAAUGUGAUAAACCACAAGAGAGGAGAGGAGAGAGGAGAGAACAGCUAACGCUGGACACAGAGAGAACAGCAGACUCCAGCAGACACCACAGUCUGGACCAGUGGUCUCAUGGUGAUCAGGGUUGCUGGAGUCUGAAAAGUUUCAAAAACAAAGUGGUAUCGAUUCAUUUAACCCUGAUCUCACAAAAAUGUCUAAAUGAAAAGUUUUGCGUGUAUGUGGACGUAAGUGUAGUAGUUAUUUCGUGACCCCAGGAACCAAAAAAAAAAUAAAUACUCUGUUGGAUUUAAAUUAAAUUGAAA